CUUCUUCUUUCUCCUCCACUGUUCUUUCUUUCUUUCUUUCUUUCUUUCUUUUUUAAGUAUAUACACAUGUACGUACAGCGUAAAGAAAGAAAGAGACGGCGACUUCGGAUGGAACAGAACAGAUGAGCGGAUG
rnacentral:ribozyme from 14 species